GAGCAGAUCGUUGGGGAAACGAAGUUGGAAAUCAUCCCUGAGUUGAGUUUCAGAGUAUUGAUCAGGAAAUCCUACGGGGGUCAGGUUAGGAUGUUUUAGGGGCUUUCUCAGUAGUCAGGAACAGAUCGGUCACUUCAAGCAAAGAGCUGGCGAGAAAUUUCAUGAAAGCUGGGAGCAA